rnacentral:rRNA from 1 species
AGCUCCAAUAGCGUAUAUUAAAGUUGUUGCAGUUAAAAAGCUCGUAGUUGGAUAUCUGGUGGGAGGGAUCGGUCCCACAUUCUAUGUGGUAACUAUAUCCUCUCCGGCCAUUCCUGGGUGGAUCCUGUCUGGCAUUAAAUUGUCAGUCAGAGAAUACACAUCGUUUACUGUGAAAAAAAAACAGAGUGUUUAAAGCAGGCUUAUGCCAUCGAAUAUAUUAGCAUGGCAUAAUAAGAUAGGACCCUGGUACUAUUUUGUUGGUUUGCGUACCGAGGUAAUGAUUAAUAGGGACAGUUGGGAGUAUUUGUAUUCAGUAUUCAGUGGUGAAAUACUUAGACCUACAAACUACUGCAAAACCAUUUACCAAGGAUGUUUUCA